AAUAACCUUCAAUAAGAUAUGAACCAACAGUUAACUCCUCCCAUCGGCACAGUAGCUGCUCCAUUUCUCUCACUGCUAAAAUAAUCAACCCCUUCAUUUUCUGCUUCUGCAAAUCAACUCUACCAUUUUCUGCUUCUGCAAAUCGUCGUCUUCAUCAUCUUCAUCAAAAACAUCAUCAAAUUUUCUGCAAAUCGUCGUCGUCAUCAUCUGCAAAUCGCCGUCUUCAUCAUCUCCAUUUUCUGCUUCUGCUCAUCAAAUAAUGGCCGAUCUUCCUUGCAAAAAUGAUGGUUUUUCUUUGAUAACAUCUGCUCAUCAACUUCCAUACAGUGGUCGUAUGGGUGAUGAAUUAGCGCCUCCAUCAAUAGGUUCUUCAUCUUUUGAAGGAGGGGAAAUUUUAAGAAUAAGGUCAUCUAUAAGACGCGGAUGAGUUUAUAAAUUUAUUACAUGGUUCGGAUCCGGUGAAAGUUGAGAUUAAUCAUUUGGAAAAUGAAGUUAGAGAUAAGCAUCUGAUGCACAAGCUGAAAUCAAGGCGUUGAGGUUAUCUGUGCAUUCUAGAGAAAGAGCAAUUGAAGAGUUGGGUUUUGAUAAGGAAAAUUGAAGAAAGUAUUGUUCAGAGAGUAAUAUACACAAUCGGUUGAUGAAGAUGAAGAACAAAAUGUUCUUGUAGAAACAUGAAAGGAUCUGCAACAAAAAUAAAAAAAGUAACAUAAAAAAGGGACGCGUGGAUCCAGACCAAAUAAGGGGAAAUCGAAGAAAGGUACCAGCAAACAAAUUAAAGACGACGAAGAAGAAAUUAAUUUUCAUGCUGAAAAAUCACUUGUUGAAGAAGAAAUUAAUUUUCAUGCUGAAAAAUCACUUGUUGAAGAACAAAUUAAUUUUCAUGCUGAAAAAUCACUUGUUGAAGCUUUGUUAUCUUUGUUAUGUAAUUGUUUCAUGUUGAAUACUACCUUCACAUACAGAUGUUGUGGAUAUAUUCUGUGCAGAAAUUUGUUGCGGAUAUUUCGUGCACAUAGAUCUGUUGUUGAUAUAUUCUCCACACAAAUGCGUUGUGUAUAUAUUCUGCACACAAAUUUGUUGUGGAUAUUUUCUGCAUAUAUACAUGUGUAAUUUUUCUGCAUAAACAGAUGUUGUGUA